rnacentral:ncRNA from 2 species
GAGCGAUUUGUCUGGUUAAU